rnacentral:rRNA from 1 species
AUUGAACGCUGGCGGCAGGCCUAACACAUGCAAGUCGAGCGAGCGGCGGACGGGUGAGUAAUGUCUGGGAAACCGCCUGAUGGAGGGGGAUAACUACUGGAAACGGUAGCUAAUACCGCAUACCAUCGGAUGUGCCCAGAUGGGAUUAGCUGGUGGGUGGGGUAAAGGCUCACCUGGGCGACGAUCCCUAGCUGGUCUGAGAGGUUGACCAGCCACACUGGAACUGAGACACGGUCCAGACUCCUACGGGAGGCAGCAGUGGGGAAUCUUCGACAAUGGGCGCAAGCCUGAUGCAGCAAUGCCGCGUGAGUGAAGAAGGCUUUCGGGUCGUAAAGCUCUUUCAGCGGGGAGGCGUUACCCGAAGAGGAAGCACCGGCUAACUCCGUGCCAGCAGCCGCGGUAAUUC